GCUAGAAAGGAGAUGGUUGACUACGAUGAAGCCUAAACCUCAGAGGCCCUAGGCUCUCUAUUGGAAAGCAAGGGAUCAAGGGGUCGAGGGGGGGGGGAGGCUCUGAAAUUGGAAGACAGGCUAAAGAAGGGGGGACCCCUAUUUAUAAACCCCUUCAAUGGACAGGAUCGAUAUGAAAAGUUGCACCUUCUUCGAGAUUUUGACACGUGGCUACAAUCUCAACCGAUUAUUUUCUCAACUUUUCG
rnacentral:lncRNA from 1 species